rnacentral:rRNA from 1 species
CCCCUUUGGGGGUACUCGAGUGGCGAACGGGUGAGUAACACGUGAGUAACCUGCCCUUGACUUCGGGAUAACUUCAGGAAACUGGGGCUAAUACCGGAUAGGAAUCCUUGCUGCAUGGUGGGGGUUGGAAAGCUUCGGCGGUUUUGGAUGGACUCGCGGCUUAUCAGCUUGUUGGUGGGGUAGUGGCUUACCAAGGCUUUGACGGGUAGCCGGCCUGAGAGGGUGUACGGCCACAUUGGGACUGAGAUACGGCCCAG